UGCAUGCAUGUAUUCUCAUAUUCAUAUUAGUUAGUUAUCCAGUACAGUUUAUGAUUAUGAACCCCAUGCAUUCCACCUACCUCACGUGCAUACCAUUAUAUUCAAAGUACUAACGUAUUUGUGCUAUGAUGUCUUAUACCAUAGGUUCAGAUACACGAGCUCCAGAGCAUCAGUAUAUUUCAAAUAUCAGUAGUCAGAAUUAGUAGUGAGUCCUCAUCCUUUGAGGACAUGAUUAUUU
rnacentral:lncRNA from 1 species